rnacentral:rRNA from 1 species
CCCUUAGAUGUUCUGGGCCGCACGCGCGCUACACUGACACACUCAGCGAGUCUCUGAUCCGAGAGGACCAGGUAAUCAUGUGAGCGUGUGUCGUGAUGGGGAUAGAAUAUUGUAAUUAUUGUUCUUCAACGAGGAAUUCCUAGUAAGCGCAAGUCAGCAGCUUGCGCUGAUUACGUCCCUGCCCUUUGUACACACCGCCCGUCGCUCCUACCGAUUGGGUGUGCUGGUGAAAUGUUCGGAUCGGCCGUUUGUCGCGGUUUCCGCGGCUCGUGGCUGAGAAGUUCAUUAAACCCUCCCACCUAGAGGAAGGAGAAGUCGUAACA